rnacentral:rRNA from 1 species
UACAGAGGUCCCAAGCGUUGUUCGGAUUCACUGGGCGUAAAGGGUGCGUAGGCGGUUGGGUAAGUCUGUCGUGAAAUCUCCGAGCCUAACUCGGAAACUGCGUCGGACACUAUUCAACUCGAGGAAUGGAGGGGAGACUGGAAUUCUCGGUGUAGCAGUGAAAUGCGUAGAUAUCGAGAGGAACACCAGUGGCGAAGGCGAGUCUCUGGACAUUUCCUGACGCUGAGGCACGAAAGCCAGGGGAGCAAACGGG